rnacentral:rRNA from 1 species
UACAGAGGGUGCAAGCGUUGUUCGGAAUUAUUGGGCGUAAAGAGCGUGUAGGCGGCUAGGUAGGUCCGUUGUGAAAACUCGAGGCUCAACCUCGAGACGCCGGUGGAAACCGUAAAGCUAGAGUCCGGAAGAGGAGAGUGGAAUUCCUGGUGUAGCGGUGAAAUGCGCAGAUAUCAGGAAGAACACCCGUGGCGAAGGCGGCUCUCUGGGACGGUACUGACGCUGAGACGCGAAAGCGUGGGGAGCGAACAGG